CGCAAGCCUGACGGAGCAACGCCGCGUGAGGGAUGAAGGCCUUUGGGCUGUAAACCUCUUUUCUCAAGGAAGAAGACCUGACGGUACUUGAGGAAUAAGCCACGGCUAAUUCCGUGCCAGCAGCCGCGGUAAUACGGGAGUGGCAAGCGUUAUCCGGAAUUAUUGGGCGUAAAGCGUCCGCAGGCGGCCGUUUAAGUCUGUUGUUAAAUCGUGGAGCUCAACUCCAUCACGGCAAUGGAAACUGUUCGGCUUGAGUAUGGUAGGGGCAGAGGGAAUUUCCGGUGUAGCGGUGAAAUGCGUAGAUAUCGGGAAGAACACCAGUGGCAAAAGCGCUCUGCUGGGCCAUUACUGACGCUCAUGGACGAAAGCCAGGGGAGCGAAAGGGAUUAGAUACCCCUGUAGUCCUGGCCGUAAACGAUGAACACUAGAUGUUGGGGGAAUCGACCCCUCCGGUGUCGUAGCUAACGCGUUAAGUGUUCCGCCUGGGGAGUACGCACGCAAGUGUGAAACUCAAAGGAAUUGACGGGGGCCCGCACAAGCGGUGGAGUAUGUGGUUUAAUUCGAUGCAACGCGAAGAACCUUACCAAGGCUUGACAUCCUGCGAAUCUCCAAGAAAUUGGAGAGUGCCUUCGGGAACGCAGUGACAGGUGGUGCAUGGCUGUCGUCAGCUCGUGUCGUGAGAUGUUGGGUUAAGUCCCGCAACGAGCGCAACCCACGUUUUUAGUUGCCAGCAUUCAGUUGGGCACUCUAGAAAGACUGCCGGUGACAAACCGGAGGAAGGUGUGGACGACGUCAAGUCAUCAUGCCCCUUACGCCUUGGGCUACACACGUACUACAAUGCUGCGGACAAAGAGUAGCGAUCUUGCGAAAGUUAGCUAAUCUCGUAAACCGUGGCUCAGUUCAGAUCGUAGGCUGCAACUCGCCUACGUGAAGGAGGAAUCGCUAGUAAUCGCAGGUCAGCAUACUGCGGUGAAUACGUUCCCGGGCCUUGUACACACCGCCCGUCACACCAUGGAAGUUGGCCAUGCCCGAAGUCGUUACUCUAACCUUUUGGAAGAGGGCGCCGAAGGCAGGGCUAAUGACUGGGGUGAAGUCGUAACAAGGUAGCCGUAGCGGAAGCUGCGGCUGGAUCACCUCCUAA
rnacentral:rRNA from 1 species